rnacentral:rRNA from 1 species
AACGCUAGCUACAGGCUUAACACAUGCAAGUCGAGGGGCAGCACAGUGUAGUAAUACACGGGUGGCGACCGGCGCACGGGUGCGUAACGCGUAUCCAACCUUCCCGUUACUCUUGGAUAGCCUUCCGAAAGGGAGAUUAAUGCAAGAUGGUAUUCAAAUUCCGCAUGUUAUUUGAAUUAAAGAUUUAUCGGUAACGGAUGGGGAUGCGUGACAUUAGAUAGUAGGCGGGGUAACGGCCCACCUAGUCUACGAUGUCUAGGGGUUCUGAGAGGAAGGUCCCCCACACUGGAACUGAGACACGGUCCAGACUCCUACGGGAGGCAGCAGUGAGGAAUAUUGGUCAAUGGUCGGAAGACUGAACCAGCCAAGUAGCGUGAAGGAUGAAGGUUCUAUGGAUUGUAAACUUCUUUUAUACGGGAAUAAAACACCUUACGUGUAGGGUCUUGUAUGUACCGUAUGAAUAAGCAUCGGCUAACUCCGUGCCAGCAGCCGCGGUAAUACGGAGGAUGCGAGCGUUAUCCGGAUUUAUUGGGUUUAAAGGGAGCGUAGACGGGAUGUUAAGUCAGUUGUGAAAGGCUGCGGCUCAACCGCAGCACUGCAGUUGAUACUGGCGUCCUUGAGUGCGGUUGAGGUAUGUGGAAUUCGUGGUGUAGCGGUGAAAUGCUUAGAUAUCACGAAGAACUCCGAUUG